AUGGGCCAUGCGUUCACUCCGGUUCCGAGCGCGCCGUCGACAUCCACCUGGCCGAUUGAUCGCCAGGUUGCGUGAGCC
rnacentral:sRNA from 2 species